rnacentral:lncRNA from 1 species
GAAAAAAGGCAAUCUAUAGAAAGUAUAUUAUAAACCCUAGGGUAGGAAAAUAGCAAGUUAACAGCAGGGAAAGUUUUACCACCUCUUGCAUUCUGAUUUCAAGUUAUUUCUUCCUGCUGUCUUGAGCCACAGUUUUCAGGUUUCAGGUUGAAGAUGAAAUGUGUCCAGGAAAGUGCUGGGACUGUAGCACUCUGUGUGCCAGCUCAGAUGUCCUGUGAAAACUCCAGAAUAUCUAUAAAAUGGCCUUGCAUUUGGACAUUCUCAAGAGGGAGGCUUAAAGGCUGAUGGAACUAUAAAGGCAGAGAUGAUGCUAAGUAGUUCUGAUAUUUCAAUUUGGAUUCCUAGAUUAAAAAGCUGGAUUUAGUUGAGAGGAGAAUAUUAUAAUCACCUUUACCAAGAAAGAUUGGUGCCUAGACCCAACUGUCAUCAGAGAGGCUUCCUUCAGCAACUGAUGGAAACAGACGCCAAGACCCACUGAGUUUGCGGAAUCCUGCUGAAGAACGGAAUCCUUCCUCCCAUCAAGGGGGUCAAGGACAUCCAUAAGAAAACCCACAGAAUUAUCUAACCUGUUUCAUGGAGCUCACAGAGUCUGAACUUAGGCCCUCUACAUAUGGGACAGUUGUGUAGUGUGGGAGCAGGGGAUGCCUCUGAUUCUUUACUGGCUUUUGGGACCCUAUACUGGGUUGCCUUGCAAAGCCAUAAUACAAGGGCAGGUCCUUAGUUUUACUGCAACUUGAUAUACAUGGGAGGCCUGUGCUUUUUCUGAACAGAAACUGAGGCGUGGAUUGGUGGGAGUGGGGCAGUAUGGGGCAAACAUGUGUAGACAUGUAGGCAAAACACCCAUACGCAUAAAGUUAAAUUCUGUAUCUGCCAGGUGGCCUACUCAUUGCCUCUGCCAUUGGCUCCUGAAGCCCAAUUUAGUUCUAAAAUUAGGCACAGUAUUCAAUGAGUAUAUAAUUGAGUAAUGUUUUCUUAGUGGGUUAAUCUUGUUUUGGCACUAACUUGUUGAUCAUGUGUAAGACCAUUUAAGCCAGAGUGUCUGUUCUAAUGCUUCAUAAUUUGGUUGCAGGUAAAUUUGGCUCCUCAUAGAGAGCCUAAGCACUCCAUCAUAUUGCUUGCCUUCUCAGGGCUUCUUGAGGACCAGAAGUCUGUCCCCCUACUGUUUUCUGAACUUUACCCAGACAAACAAAUUUUAAAGCAGGAGGUGAC